UUCAUAUUAUUUUAUAUAUCUUAAAAUAUAAAAAAAUGUAUGUAGAAUAUGAAAUUAUAGUGCUAUAACAAUAUUGUUCAUUGUUAGUUUAUUAUACAUGAUACAUUGCUAACUAAUUGUAGUAGAGCAAGGUUACCCUGUUUUUCUUUUUUUUAAGUUUUUAUUUGAAAACACACACAAAUGUACUUGUAUGUCCUUCUUCAACUGUUUAGGCCAGUGUUUGUCUCUUUCGCUCUUGUUUCCCCAUGACAGUAGCCCUAUAAAUGCAACAUGACAAAGUCUAUUGAGAAGCACGUCUAAUACAUUUUUCCCCCUGCUGUAGUGAUGUUGCCCUGGGUCCUUGGGAUCUGCUCUCUUGCUGAGGGUGGAAAUCACAUUCCAGUGGUGGAGACGGGUCAACCCCUGCGAUUUGCCAUGCUCAGCAAGAGUGCUCGGGACUACUCUCUUAGGCCUCAAAUGACUCACAUUUGGAUCCUUAGGGGAUAGAUACUUUACAGUUCCUCUCUUUAACACACCAGCCUUACAGGACAUGCAAAUAAGAUGCCCUUGAAGUUUCCACAUUCAUUAAAAGAAAUUCAGACAUUUGCAUUCGGAAACAUGGAGAUACGAAGACUCGGAUGUGACAAGAAGUCAUCACCAUAAUUAUACCCACUAAUGAGGCAUCAUCAGCCCUAGAGGAAUUCUCAUUGUGUUUAGGAGUUGUUGGAGUCAACAGGAAGGAGGCUUGCUUUGUUAAAGUGUGACCAGGUUUCAUGGGGUGUCUGACAGAUGACUGAACGUGAUCGUUAGAUCUAAUGGACAAAAUAAGCUUGCGCAGUUUACAUAUGAAUGCACCUAUGACGACGGAAAAACCCGCGGACAGCAGCAGUUUUGUCAGCUGAAUGUGGUGAGUGUGUGUUAGAAAUCAGGAAUGGUGAGAGAACAUUGUGCUUGGUACAUUUUUCGUCCUCAAACCAAACUUGGGUCUUCAACUGACGAAGUCUAA